UACGGAGGAUGCAAGCGUUAUCCGGAAUGAUUGGGCGUAAAGCGUCCGCAGGCGGCAUUUCAAGUCUGCUGUCAAAGACCGGGGCUCAACCUCGGAAAGGCAGUGGAAACUGAACAGCUAGAGUAUGGUAGGGGCAAAGGGAAUUCCUGGUGUAGCGGUGAAAUGCGUAGAGAUCAGGAAGAACAUCGGUGGCGAAGGCGCUUUGCUGGACCAUAACUGACACUCAGGGACGAAAGCUAGGGGAGCGAAUGGG
rnacentral:rRNA from 1 species